CCAGGCGGCGGGGCCGAGGGGAGCCGGCGGCCCGUGGCUGCCUUCGCGGCCCGUGUGGCGGCCCUCGGGCCCAGCAGCGCCGCGGGGGCCGCCCGGGCGGGGAGCGCCACGGCUGCCCGCUUAGGAGGCGGCUGAGAAGCGGCGGGGCUCUGCCGGGAAGUCUCAAGUGAUUAAAUCUGGUUGAGGGCACUCACCGCGUAGCUGCCUGAGAGCAACAUCCAAGCCUCCCCGGGCAAUAGGCCUAAGAAGAUGGUCCUGACUUUUGUCCAGAUGUCAUUCUAGUGUUUGGACCUGGGCUUCGAUGCAGGGACUGUGAACUCCUUUUGGAGAACGGCUCCUGGACAUCUGGUCACCAGCCUUCCACCCCUUCUUCUCUCUGGGAGAAUUUUUCUCUGGAUUUAGUUCACUGAACUCACAGCUGGAUCCGAGCCGCUUUUCCAACAGGACUCGGUUGUGUCUGUCUGACAACACACCUACAGUGACUCUCUUUAAUUAAAUCUCCCUGCAUGGCUGCGAGACUGUUCCAUUGACUUGGCUGACACCAUGGCCUGCAAAGAGUUGAAACAGCAACACUGCAGGGACUAUAAGCUGCAGCAGAAGUGAACCAAGAGACCAGGGGAUUGAACAAGGUGGAAGGAAGCUGGUUUUGCACAGGUGUGCAAUGUGGUAGCCCACCUCUACUUGGCGCAGGAAGCAACAGCCUGGAUCUCUUUCCACCUCAAGCAGGAAAGUGUCUCUCUCUGUAUGUGCCUUUCCUUACAGACGUUGAUGACUCUUCUCAUGUGAGCAGACUUAUGUCUUCCCUGAUCCAUUACAACUUUAUUUUUCCUGCCAUAAAAAAGAGGACCUAUGCAGCUGAAGCGACCCUUUGUCACUGAAUAUUGUGAACUCAAGCAGCCAUGCUAUCCUCUACACUAUGACUGAACCAAGGGAAAUCUCUAAUAUGAGCCUGGCACCUAUCAGAUGCUGUUACAAAGGGAUUGGACUGAAAACAAAACUUUUGUUCUGGAGUAGGUGGUGCAACUGGGAUUAUACCAGCAAUUCAGUUUGGAAGCAGGGGCUUGUGUAAGGACCUAGUCUCUGCAGAGCCUCCUGCAUCUCUCUCUUCACAAAUCAUGGCAAAAUUCCCAUCCUUUCCCCCUUGCCUCACUCUACUGUUAUGUAACUCUAUGGUGUGUGCUGCAUACAAUCUACGAAUUAUGUACAGAUGCAAGUAUUUUUCACUGCUUUCUCAUUUCCUUGUAUAGUCAUUUAUGGAAAAAAAAAUAAAUAGCACCAGUUCUGGUAAUACAGUA